GGGAGCGGAGCGGAGCGGGCGGUGUGUGAAUUGAGAUUAUCAGUAGGAGUUUGUCCCAAGAAAACUUCAGUAACCAGUCUUGAGAGCAGCAGAAGAGAGGAGUACACUGACAAUGGCUGCAGAGUUGGAUUUCUCCCCACCUGAAAUCCCUGAGCCCACAUUCAUGGAGAAUGUGCUACGCUAUGGACUUUUCUUUGGAGCCAUCUUCCAGCUGAUCUGUGUGCUUGCCAUAAUCCUGCCCGUGUCCAAGUCCCACAGGACAGACUCGGACAGUUUUGAGCCUAAGAAUUCAGACAUGGUGAAGAAGCCAAAGGCAACUGCUCCACAGAUAAGCAAGAAACCCAAGAAGGAAACCAAAAAGAAACGAUAGAGGUGUGACUGAUGAGCCUCCAAAGACCAAAUAACCACUUAUAAUCAUGAUUCCUCAGAGACAACAUCAAAGGCAACUAACUCUGUUAAUGGUUUUCUGGCAUUGCCAUCUUUUACUUUUCAGGGGCAAGGGAGAAGAAACUUAAAAGAAUGGAAGGGUUGGGGUUCUACCAUAGAUUUCUUACAAGCAAAGAGAACUUCACAUGUUCAGGACUUCAUUUGACUUGAUUAAUGUGUCAGUCACUAUUAAAGUGACUUACUCCAGUUCUGGUGGGUAGAGAGGGCUGUUGGCCUGUCUCCUCCAUGCUAGCUGGGGUUUGUAGUAAAGUCCCUGUGGAAAAUGGAGCGUGGGUUUGCCACUUUGGAUACUGCUUUGUGUUGUGUUUUUUGAAGGAAGAAGGAUCAAAUGGAUCAAGAAUACCACACUACACAGCUUUGUAUUCAUCUCUGUUGUCAUCUAGUCUGAAAUACAUAGCUAUAUUUUAUGGCUUAAUCAUAAUGCCUUUGUCAUAUUCUUUAAUUCUUUAGGUAAUAACUCACCAGAUUCCAGACUGCUGCAGAUGAAAGCUUUCAUUUCCCCAGCGUCGCUGUCUCUUGUUCCCCACCCAUGCACUCUUCCUUUCUCUUCCCACCUUUGAAAGCACAUACAUUUCAGGGAACUGAGGCUGUGGUGGGGAUUGUAAUGCCUACAAGAAUCAGGAAACAAUUUUACUCUGGAAGGUGCAGAAUUUAAUGCCUGUGCUAGUGGAGUUGUUCUUGGAAGCUUGGGAAGACCGGGCACUGUGUGCUGGAGAAGAGCUGCUGGGGUGGGAGUCUGGGGAUGGUGCAGUGGUGGCAUAUCAGCACUGCCUCACUGUGCUAUGGAUAAACCCUCCUGCCAGCUGGCUGAUCCCUGACCAUGGGCCCUCUCUCAACACAGCUGGGGAUCAUUGCACUUGCAAAUUCCCUCCCAGCCUUCCCUGCCACAGUCUGCUCCAUCUCCUCUGGCUGAAUUCCUCCUGAGGAUGAAUAUGUUCUCAGCCUGAGGAGAUGUGGUAUUUUAAGACCCAAGGGGUGGCAGGCCAGCUGUGUACCAUGGCUGCAUGGCAGGAGACAGACACUGUGUUCCUUCAGGCUCUGGCUCUCCAGGCCCAGGGACAAUCCAGGACUGGAUUUAAAUAUGGCUAGACAGGACUGGAAGGAGAUAGGUGGUGACGUAGCCACAGAGUCUCUAGAGCAGCUCGAGCUUCCAGAUGCCAGCUCACAUCUUGGUUUGUUUGAUCAGGAGUGAGUCAAUGGGAGGAGAACCUGCUCUCUGAGGCGCACCCAGGGUUCAGAGCAGCUUUGAAGGAAGGGUUCUCCCUGGCAGGGCUGCAAGUCUGUGAUCCUCUUUGCAUACACAGACUCCCAUCCCCGAGUCACAAGUGCCUGGUGAGCCCAGGUGUGUGUUCUGUAGCAGCAGGUGAACAACACAUUUACAGAAAGCAUCAGUGCUGAGAACAGCCACGUCCUCUGCUCACUCUUGCUCUUGGUGGGGGUGACAGAUGGAUCCCAGUACCAGUGUGACUCUGAUUUCCCUGCUCCAGGCUCUCUGAUGCUCUUAGCCAGAAUGCUGGCACCAAGCUCUACUUCUUAAAAUCCAUCUUGGAGCUCUGCUUUAAAUUCUGCCUUUUAAUAUUUUAUUUUUUUUGGAGCUACAUGAAGGCAGUACCAGGAGGACAGAACAAAGCAUAGGAAACAUAAGCACUCUAAAGUUGCUUUAAGUUCUUAGUACAAAGAAAUAUUACAAAAAGUUCCCACACAAAUAACAAAGAACAGUGUUGUGCCAUGAGUUUCCAUGAUGGACCUGUGCUCUGUCUCUAAUCUGCAGGGCAAAGAAAAGCCCUGAGUAGGUACUGCAGAUCACUCUUUCCAUUUGAAUACAUGAGAAUGGUUUUAUGUAAAUUCCAGUUUUCUGCAGGUUACCUAAAGCGGGGGGUUAAUGCUUUAAUGGAAUCACACAUUAUCCAAAAUACAGAGUCACUUCUGCAGCUCAGAACCAGUUAGCAGUGGGCACUGUGUAGCUGUUAGCUGAAAUAGCAGCUACUCCAUCAAUGUUCACCUCCAGCUCGCUCACUCAUUGCUCAGUAGAAAUCAUGGAUGUUGGGGUUUGGUUUUGCUGGGGGAAAAAGGAUGAAUUCCCCAGUCUGUUCCUGACAGCUUUAUACCUAUUUGAAUGCUCUUGUUUGCUGAACUUAGAGUAUGUAGAGAUUACCAAUAACCCAUGUAUUUUACUUUAUCUUGAAAUGUGUAAUAAAUACCAUCUGAUUUUUUUUUAAAAGGAAA